AGAAUCAACGCUGGCGGCGUGCCUAACACAUGCAAGUCGAACGAGAAAGUGGAGCAAUCCACGAGUAAAGUGGCGCACGGGUGAGUAACACGUGACUAACCUACCCUUGAGUGGGGGAUAACCUAGAGAAAUCUGGGCUAAUACCGCAUAAUACCUUCGGGUCAAAGGAGCAAUUCGCUUAAGGAGGGGGUCGCGGCCGAUUAGUUAGUUGGCGGGGUAAUGGCCCACCAAGACGAUGAUCGGUA
rnacentral:rRNA from 1 species